rnacentral:lncRNA from 10 species
GAGACAGAGGCUCACUCUGUUACCCAGGCUGGAGUGCAGUGGCACUAUCUCAGCUCAGCUCAGCUCACUGCAACCUCCACCUCCCAGGUUUAAGCAGUUCUCCUGCCUCAGCCUCCUGCGUAGUUGGGAUUACAGGCACACGCCACCACACCUGGCUAAUUUUUGUAUUUUUAGUAGAGAUGGGGUUUCCCCAUAUUUGUCAGGCUGGUCUUGAACUCCUGACCUCAGGAAUUCAAGACCAGCCUGGCCAAUAUGGUAAAGCUCCAUCUCUACUAAAAAAUACAAGUAUUAGUCAGGCGUGGUGAUGCAUGCCUAUAGUCCCAGCUACUUGGGAGCCUGAAGCAGGAGAAUCGCUUGAACUCAGGAAGCAGAAGUUGCAGUGAGCCGAGAUCACACCACUGCACCGCAGCUUGGGUGACAGAGUGAGAUUCCAUUUCAAACAAAAAAAAAGAAAAAAAAAAAAGGAAGCCAGGAAACAUCAGUAGGCCACUGGUGCAAAAAUUUAUGUUAGAAAUGGUGGCAACUUUCACUAAGGUGAUAGCAAUAGAGAUUCAGAGAAAUGAACAGAUUCCAGAGAUACUGUAGAGAUAAAAUUGACAUGUUGUGACAGACCCGAUAUAGGAACAGAGAAGUAAAAGGAAUUAUCAAAGAUAACUCUGAGACUGCUAGCUUGAGCAAACAGGCACAUAUACUAUUAAGAUGAAAUAAAU